UUCCUAUCCAACGGCUACAAGCGAAAAAGAUGCGUGCACCGUUUACAUAGUAACGCUCCCCCUCCAUUUUGCCGAACCCAAAUAAAAAUCCAGAAAAUAGAAUUUCGAAACGACUACACAAUCUGUUCCCUUCUCUCUGUCUUCUCUGCCGACAUAUCAACGAUCAGCCGUCGCACCUGGGCGGCGCCACCUCUCAAAAUCGCCGGGAAAUCCUCUGAAGCUCUCAAGAACUUUAUCUCUGAUAUCUAGCACUUUUGCUUCACUGUGCCUCAACUAACGGUUGUUUCCUAUCUUUUUAAAUUACAGUCUCUGUUUGAUUGGCCAUAAUUAAUCUUAAAUAUUGAUAAAUUGAAAAAAUAUAUAUUUGAAUUUUUUAAAGGUUUAUUGUGGUUUGUUUGUGUAAAUGCAGGCGUGCUUUUUUAAUUUUUCUUCAACUGUUUUAGGAGAGUAUCUGCGUUUUUUUUUUAGAUAAAUAAUGGCGUUAGAAUUGUGUGAUUAUGUGAAUUGUGGCUUGAGUGGUUUAACGGUGCAUUUUGUUCCGUUUCCCCUCCUUUUUGAGAAGAUGAUAUUCAGUUCUUUGUGAAUUUUGUUUAUUCUAAGUUAUGCUUGUUUCUUCAUUUUCUAGUAGUUUUGCAAUUAGAUAAUCCUUCUCCUGAGUCUUUGCGUAGAGUUUAAUCCACAUUAGCCAAAAAUGAGCUCAAUAAGAUAUAAUCCUAAUUUCAAAAACUGAAUGGAGUGAGUUGUAGAAUGUUUAAAUUCAAUACUCAUUUUAAGGGUUCAG
rnacentral:lncRNA from 1 species